AGGGGUAUCGCCAAGCGGUAAGGCAACGGACUCUGACUCCGUCACUUCGGUGGUUCGAAUCCAUCUACCCCUGCCA
rnacentral:tRNA from 1 species